rnacentral:rRNA from 1 species
GACGAACGCUGGCGGCGUGCUUAACACAUGCAAGUCGAGAGGAGCGGCGAACGGGUGAGUAACGCGUGAGUAACUGCCCCCCUCUCUGGGAUAACAGUUGGAAACGGAUGCUAAUACCGGAUAGUGGGGGAUGACUCGCGUCCUCUCAGCUUGUUGGUGGGGUAGUGGCCUACCAAGGCGACGACGGGGAGCCGGCCUGAGAGGGCGACAGGCCCCACUGGGCUGAGAGACGGCCCAAACUCCUACGGGAGGCAGCAGUGGUGACUAUUGUACAAUGGGGGAAACCCUAAUGCAGCAACGCCGCGGUCUGGAUGACGGCAUUCGGGUUGUAAACCGCUUUCAGCCAUGACGCGGUAGUGGCAGAAGAAGCACCGGCUAACUACGUGCCAGCAGCCGCGGUAAUUC